GCCGGAGUAGCUCAGUUGGUAGAGCAGCGCUUUUGUAAAGCGCGGGUCGUGGGUUCAAGUCCCUCCUCCGGCU
rnacentral:tRNA from 1 species